ACGGAAGGCAGCAGUGGGGGAUAUUGCACAAUGGGGGAAACCCUGAUGCAGCGACGCCGCGUGAAGGAAGAAGUAUUUCGGUAUGUAAACUUCUAUCAGCAGGGAAGAAAAUGACGGUACCUGACUAAGAAGCACCGGCUAAAUACGUGCCAGCAGCCGCGGUAAUACGUAUGGUGCAAGCGUUAUCCGGAAUUACUGGGUGUAAAGGGAGCGUAGGCGGAUAGGUAAGUCAGAUGUGAAAGACCGGGGCUCAACUCCGGGGCUGCAUUUGAAACUAUCUAACUAGAGUACAGGAGAGGUAAGCGGAAUUCCUAGUGUAGCGGUGAAAUGCGUAGAUAUUAGGAGGAACAUCGGUGGCGAAGGCGGCUUACUGGACUGAAACUGACGCUGAGGCUCGAAAGCGUGGGGAGCAAACAGGAUUAGAUACCCUGGUA
rnacentral:rRNA from 1 species